rnacentral:rRNA from 1 species
CGCGUAGGUGGUUUGUUAAGCGAGAUGUGAAAGCCGCGGGCUUAACCUGGGAACGGCAUUUCGAACUGGCAGGCUAGAGUGUGGUAGAGGGUAGUGGAAUUUCCUGUGUAGCGGUGAAAUGCGUAGAUAUAGGAAGGAACACCAGUGGCGAAGGCGGCUACCUGGACCAACACUGACACUGAGGUGCGAAAGCGUGGGGAGCAAACA